UACGAAGGGUGCAAGCGUUAAUCGGAAUUACUGGGCGUAAAGGGUGCGUAGGCGGUUCGUUAAGUCUGUCGUGAAAUCCCCGGGCUCAACCUGGGAAUGGCGAUGGAUACUGGCGAGCUAGAGUGUGUCAGAGGAUGGUGGAAUUCCCGGUGUAGCGGUGAAAUGCGUAGAGGUCGGGAGGAACAUCAGUGGCGAAGGCGGCCAUCUGGGACAACACUGACGCUGAAGCACGAAAGCGUGGGGAGCAAACAGG
rnacentral:rRNA from 1 species